rnacentral:rRNA from 1 species
CUGGAGGUAUCAGAAGUGCGAAUGCUGACAUAAGUAACGAUAAAGCGGGUGAAAAGCCCGCUCGCCGGAAGACCAAGGGUUCCUGUCCAACGUUAAUCGGGGCAGGGUGAGUCGACCCCUAAGGCGAGGCCGAAAGGCGUAGUCGAUGGGAAACGGGUUAAUAUUCCCGUACUUGGUGUUACUGCGAAGGGGGGACGGAGAAGGCUAUGUUGGCCGGGCGACGGUUGUCCCGGUUUAAGCGUGUAGGUGUGUGUUCCAGGUAAAUCCGGUUCACUUUAACACUGAGGCGUGAUGACGAGGCACUACGGUGCUGAAGCAACAAAUGCCCUGCUUCCAGGAAAAGCCUCUAAGCAUCAGGUAACAUCAAAUCGUACCCCAAACCGACACAGGUGGUCAGGUAGAGAAUACCAAGGCGCUUGAGAGAACUCGGGUGAAGGAACUAGGCAAAAUGGUGCCGUAACUUCGGGAGAAGGCACGCUGACACGUAGGUGAAGUGAUUUACUCACGGAGCUGAAGUCAGUCGAAGAUACCAGCUGGCUGCAACUGUUUAUUAAAAACACAGCACUGUGCAAACACGAAAGUGGACGUAUACGGUGUGACGCCUGCCCGGUGCCGGAAGGUUAAUUGAUGGGGUCAGCGCAAGCGAAGCUCCUGAUCGAAGCCCCGGUAAACGGCGGCCGUAACUAUAACGGUCCUAAGGUAGCGAAAUUCCUUGUCGGGUAAGUUCCGACCUGCACGAAUGGCGUAAUGAUGGCCAGGCUGUCUCCACCCGAGACUCAGUGAAAUUGAACUCGCUGUGAAGAUGCAGUGUACCCGCGGCAAGACGGAAAGACCCCGUGAACCUUUACUAUAGCUUGACACUGAACAUUGAGCCUUGAUGUGUAGGAUAGGUGGGAGGCUUUGAAGUGUGGACGCCAGUCUGCAUGGAGCCGGCCUUGAAAUACCACCCUUUAAUGUUUGAUGUUCUAACGUGGACCCGUGAUCCGGGUUGCGGACAGUGUCUGGUGGGUAGUUUGACUGGGGCGGUCUCCUCCUAAAGAGUAACGGAGGAGCACGAAGGUUGGCUAAUCCUGGUCGGACAUCAGGAGGUUAGUGCAAUGGCAUAAGCCAGCUUGACUGCGAGCGUGACGGCGCGAGCAGGUGCGAAAGCAGGUCAUAGUGAUCCGGUGGUUCUGAAUGGAAGGGCCAUCGCUCAACGGAUAAAAGGUACUCCGGGGAUAACAGGCUGAUACCGCCCAAGAGUUCAUAUCGACGGCGGUGUUUGGCACCUCGAUGUCGGCUCAUCACAUCCUGGGGCUGAAGUAGGUCCCAAGGGUAUGGCUGUUCGCCAUUUAAAGUGGUACGCGAGCUGGGUUUAGAACGUCGUGAGACAGUUCGGUCCCUAUCUGCCGUGGGCGCUGGAGAACUGAGGGGGGCUGCUCCUAGUACGAGAGGACCGGAGUGGACGCAUCACUGGUGUUCGGGUUGUCAUGCCAAUGGCACUGCCCGGUAGCUAAAUGCGGAAGAGAUAAGUGCUGAAAGCAUCUAAGCACGAAACUUGCCCCGAGAUGAGUUCUCCCUGAGACUUAGAGUCUCCUGAAGGAACGUUGAAGACGACGACGUUGAUAGGCCGGGUGUGUAAGCGCAGCGAUGCGUUGAGCUAACCGGUACUAAUGAACCGUGAGGCUUAACCUU